rnacentral:rRNA from 1 species
GACGAACGCUGGCGGCGUGCUUAACACAUGCAAGUCGAACGGAAAGGCCCUGCUUGCAGGGUACUCGAGUGGCGAACGGGUGAGUAACACGUGGGUGAUCUGCCCUGCACUUCGGGAUAAGCCUGGGAAACUGUGUCUAAUACCGGAUAGGAGCCAUUUUUAGUGUGAUGGUUGGAAAGUUUUUUCGGUGUAGGAUGAGCUCGCGGCCUAUCAGCUUGUUGGUGGGGUAAUGGCCUACCAAGGCGGCGACGGGUAGCCGGCCUGAGAGGGUGGACGGCCACAUUGGGACUGAGAUACGGCCCAGACUCCUACGGGAGGGAGAAGUGGGGAAGAUUGCAAAAUGGGCGCAAGCCUGAUGCAGCGACGCCGCGGGGGGGAAGACGGCCUUCGGGUUGUAAAAUCCUUUCGCUAGGGAAGAAGCUGUUUGUGACGGUACCUAGAUAAGAAGCACCGGCUAACUACGUG